UACGUAGGGGGCGAGCGUUGUCCGAAGUUACUGGGCGUAAAGCGCGCGUAGGCGGCUCUCUAAGUCUGGUGUGAAAGGUUCAGGGCUCAACCCGAACAGUGCACUGGAUACUGGGGAGCUUGAGUGCGGGAGAGGAGAGUGGAAUUCCUGGUGUAGCGGUGAAAUGCGUAGAUAUCAGGAGGAACACCGGUGGCGAAGGCGCCACUCUGGGCCGAAACUGACGCUGAGGAGCGAAAGCGUGGGUAGCAAACAGG
rnacentral:rRNA from 1 species